rnacentral:rRNA from 1 species
UACGUAGGUUGCGAGCGUUAUUCGGAUUUACUGGGCGUAAAGAGCACCGAGGUGGCUUCUUAAGUUGGAUGUAAAAUCUCCUGGCUUAACUGGGAGGCGCCAUUCAAAACUGAGGAGCUUGAGGUCAGCAGGGGAAGGUGGAAUUCCCGGUGUAGUGGUGGAAUGCGUAGAGAUCGGGAGGAACACCAGUGGCGAAAGCGACCUUCUGGGCUGCACCUGACACUCUAGUGCGAAAGCGUGGGGAGCGAACAGG